rnacentral:sRNA from 1 species
UGAGGAGGAACCGCUAUGAACGAAGUUCAUACUCGGAAUCGGUUCCGACGACCUGCCGCCGAGCGUAUGCGAGGGGGCAUCACAUU